AAAUAGGUCAAUUUUAAUAGCAUUAUAGCUCAAUUAACAGAUAAUGUAAUUUUAUUUUAAUGGCAAUAAAGUAAUUGCCACUAAUUUGCUUGAGCAUUUGGCGGUAAUAAUAUUCCCUCUAAAUGUCAUACUAUUUUAUUUUUAUUAAGUUUAGAAUCUAUUUACACAGUUCCUUUCUACCAAAUAAGGGUUUGAGCGACCUCAAUAGAGGAACUCCCCGCCAUCGCUAUCUCCGGCGAACUCCCCGCCGUCACUAUCUCCGGCGAACUCGUUGAAUUUUUCCGGUGAAAAUUACUUGUAAAUUCCUCUAUUUAUGGUCCCAAAUUUAGUAAUAAUCUAGCGCCUUACUUCUGAGAGCAAAAUCGUGGAACAAAAUUGGUGAAUGAAAUCGACAGUAACUAUGAUCCAAGUUUUUUUUAAUUGAUUUGACAUAACAGAAAAAAAAAAUAAAGCUUGUGCCUAACCUGUUUGAGAAAAUGCCACACAGACUGCUUUUUACAUUAGAGAAUACCUUUACAUACUUCUCAAGAACGAAAUUACUCCUACAAUAUUAGUUAUGGAAGCUUCAGUGUAUCAAGCACAUAUUGCUAUUUCUUUUGGCCUGAAAUGAGUAGUUUAUGUAAGGCCUGAAAUGGCCUGAAACAUCAAGGAAUUUGCCAAAAGAACUGGUGAAUGGUGAGCAUGCGAAACAAAAGCUGGUUAUAUUUCAGUGUAGCAUGAGUAGUCUGAUCCUUAUUCUAUGUGUCAGCUAGGUUUCAGCUAGUGGUCUAUCAUUUAUUUGCUUUUGAAAUUUAUGUCCUUUGUGAGAACUAGUUCUUUUAGUUGCUAUGUAGAGUCUUGCCUUGCUGUGCUAUCACUAGCUUCUUGCUUUUCGCUGCAUAUACGUCAACAUUUCCAGCAUUAUCCUGUAUUCAAAUAUACAUUUUGAAACAGAGUUUUAAUGCAUUUCUUCUGGAGACAUCACAAAAGAGGAUACGUUGUUAUGAUUUUAGAUGCAAUUUAUAUGUCAUCUCAUUUUAAGCUUAAUUAAGAAGAGACCGAUAACGGUGCUGAUAGUGGUGCCGAUGAUGAUGCAGAUGAAGAUGAAGACCCCGGUUUUCCCUUUUCUUUUCUUUAUUUUCAUUCAAAUGCUUAUGUUGAUUCAGUAUUCAACUAACUGAUAAGCUGGUGCAAAAUUUCAGGAGAAAUUGAGCAAGUGAUUUGUCUUCUUCCUCAGAUGGAGCGCAUGAUCAUUAACGCCUAGAAGGAUUGAUGGAGAGCCCUUCAGUGGAUGCCGGCGGAGACUGUUUCUCACCAAUGCUAUUGAAUGCUACUUUUGUCAAUAUAGAGGUUUACUACAACAAAGGGGUGAACUACACAUUGAUGGUAACAUUUGUAUCCUACAGCACUUCUCAUUUUUAUCCAUAUUAUAUUUAUAUCAAAUAUCACUUGUUUGGAUUCCUUAACUUCCUGAUCCACCAGAUUGCUUUCCUGCAAGUGCUCCUUCUGAUUCGACAAAUGGAACAUAGCAACACCCAUCAGUAAGACUACCACCAUCUUGUUCAUUUGAUAACAAUGGGCUUAGCUUGCAUGGCUAUUUUGUGCUCUCUCUCUCUCUCUCUGUUAUAAAUUAUAGAAUGACAUGUGAUAUUCUUUUUAUAGCGAGCUGCCAAAGGUUUCAAUUCUGAUGAUUGAAAAACAGGCUAUCAUGGAUGCUUAACUUUGUCUUUUGCACCUGACCGCAGGGAUACAGGUUGGCAAGUUUGAUCAGCAUAUGUUGUCUUGGUAAUCCCAGCUAGUACAAAUACAUUUGCAGACUUCUCUGUUAGCUAGUCAUGCCUUGUGAUCAGGUUUUAGUUUGAUUUCAUAUGCAGUGACUAGCUUGUGAUCAGGUUUUAGUUUGAUUCCAUAUGCAACACUGAGGUAGCAUCUAGAAUUAUACAAUUAUACAUGGAAAUUGUUAGGAAGAUGUUAACAAGUCAUACCUAUGUUAUAUUCUUCUGCCUUAGUUGUCAUUUUGGAAGAAGCACUGUUAGAAGUUUAUGUAGAUAGUUCUUCCAACGAGUUUUAUUUUCUUAGCAUGUUCACUCUUUUUAAUGGCAAACAAACGUUGUUGGAUAUUUUUAAUGAAGUCCUAUCAUUGUGUCUCAAGUAUUACUUUUAUGUAAUGUUUAUCUUCAGAGAAGUUUCUCCAUACUUGUAUCCAUUUCUUGUUUUGUUAAUCAAGUGUUCGAAGUAACAGCUCACUGCUUUCUUGUGUUGAAGCUUGACCAUCUCAUUGAUUUUCAAAUGGUACAAGAACAUUACUUUAGUUCCUGCUUUGGAUUUUCCCUCAUAUAUGCCAUAAUAUACAUUUUAUCUGCAAGAAAUUCUUAUUGUGUAUUGCUAAAAUGCAGGAACUUAAACAAGGAUACUCGGCUCAAGGUCACACAAAAGCUGCCAAGAAUAUCUCAUUGUAAUUAGGGGAGCAGUAGAUCAGAAAUAAACCAGCCACUAAGCCUUUGGCCAUAGUUUCUCUAGGGAGAAAAAAAUAGUGGCUCAAUUUCCUUGUUUCUCCAUCGUUCGUCGCAUUCUUUCUGUUUUGAUAGUGAUAAUUCAUACUUUAUGAUCGCGAGAAGAUCAGAAAGUGAUUGUCUUGAGUUUGAUUGUUCUUGUUUUAAGUGAAUAAAGUUGCUUUAAGUUUGAUAAUUAUUCUAGUUCUAGUAAUAACCAGCUUCCAAAUGAUUGCA